GAAGGUGUCAGCAGCUCCCCGACCAAGGGCACAGCUGAAACAUAUGGUCACAUUUUCCAUGCUUUCAUGGGAGUCCAGGGAGCACUCAAUGACAAAUCAAUGAAAACUUCUCAUGGACGGGAAAGUGAGAAGCCCAGAGAAUGUGUUGGGAGGACAAUAAGGCACAUCUUGCUCUGUGGAUGCUUUUCUUUUGCUGCUCUGUUCAGAAAAAUCUUGAAGUAGUAAUGGCCUUUUGCGAUAUAGUAACAGCAG
rnacentral:lncRNA from 1 species